AGUUCAGGGGUGAGGACAGGGAGCUGCUAUCAAAUGAGGGGUGCCUGGAGCACCCUCAAAGAGUUCCUGGAGCUUGGACCUCUCAGACCAGCCAGGCUGGAGAAGGACCCAAGGCCAGCUGCUUUCUCUCUGGAGCGCAGUCUUUGACUUGUACAGCCUGGAGGUUGUGUGACUCGUGGUUGGGCCUGUUUGGGAUAUACAGAUGACUCUUCAUAGAGAAGGCUUUGCCUCCUGGGUGAGCCCCUU
rnacentral:lncRNA from 1 species